rnacentral:ncRNA from 1 species
CGGUCCCUAUCCGUCGCGGGCGUAGGAAAUUUGAGAGGAGCUGUCCUUAGUACGAGAGGACCGGGAUGGACUGACCUCUGGUGCACCAGUUGUCACGCCAGUGGCACAGCUGGGUAGCUAUGUCGGGAAGGGAUAAACGCUGAAAGCAUCUAAGCGUGAAGCCCACCUCAAGAUUAGAUUUCCCAUAGCGUAAGCUAGUAAGACCCCUUGAAGAACACAAGGUUGAUAGGCUAGAGGUGUAAGUGUAGUAAUACAUUCAGCUGACUAGUACUAAUAGGUCGAGGGCUUGAUCUA